ensembl:lncRNA
CACAGAGGGUCGGAGUCCCGCGCCGAGCUCUCGGGCGGCGCCGACGGAGGCCACGCCCCCAACGUCCUUCCAGCGCCAAGUCCCGCCUUCCGCAGGCAAACAUCCAGUGAGGUCUCGCUCUGCUCGAAAGCCGCGCCCCUUAGGGGGAGGGCCGCUCGUCGCAGAACUGGAACAGGAGCAAUAGCCCCGCCCCGGCCCUCCCGGCCGGUCUUAGUGGUCCCAAGGCCGGGAGAUCCGGGGAGCUAGGGACGCCCGGCUUCCGGGCGGGCUCGGAGCCGGAGUCGCUAUGUGACCCCGACCCCAGCUGGGCGAGCGUCUGCGCUCUAGGGUCUCUGUUUCCACUAGCGGGAUGAGGUCGGGGGCCGGGUGUUCUGGCCUUGACAUUUCCGACCUAAUACGAUGCGUGACCUCGCUGCCUCGAGGUCCCCCGCUCCCACUGCCCAGCCUCGUCCGGCAGCUCUGACUUGAGACAAGCGCUCCUCACUCAGUCCUUUAGCCUCUCCGAGCCUCCGUGUCCUUAUCAGUAGAACCAGACUGGUGAUCUUGUUUAUCAUCUGCACGUUCUCCCCUCCUCCAGCUCGGGAAGCCAAGACUAGUCGGGUGAAGCGAUGCCUGCCCUUCCACCCCAUGGAGAGAUGGAGAGAAUCCAAACAGAUACUCAUGCUGAUUAUUAUUAAAAUAGCACGGAGCAUGUGCUAGGCUCAAUUCUAAAAGCUUUAAGCUCAGUUGAUCCUAGGAACCUAGAAUUUGAUCCAUACCGCAAACCUAGGACUUGAACUAUGGUUAUCCCUGUUUUACAGAUGGGGACUCUAGGGGCACAGAGUAAAGUACUUUGCCCAAAGGCUGGGGAUGCUGGCAGAUAACCAACCUAUAGCCACAAAAAGAAAGAGUUCAUAUUUAAUAAUAACAUGGGGAAAAAGUGCGCACUGGGGUCCAUUGUCUUCGGGAGAGGCGGGCUUCAUCUCAGGGAGCCUGCUCUGUGGUUUGGGAAGUCGUGUGGCUGAGCCUCUUGGUGACAGAACAAAGAUCUGGGGCAGACUGAAUUGGGACCUGAGGCUGAAAGAGCGGGCAAGAGGAUUCGCAGGCCGUGUCCUGUGUGGUUGAGGAGCAAGGUGGCUGGGGAGCCCUGGGACUCGAGAGCACCGUCAAACAUCCACGCUAGCCUGGACCACCUUCUCACACUGCUAUGGCU